ACGUGAGCCGGAUAUUGUUGUUGGAUUUCAGCUCGGAGUUAUUCCACGGAGAUCGCGGCCUCGCUCGUCCCAGUUUUGCUGUUCGGUGGCCUGAUCGCGUCGGUGUGGUUCAUCCACCGGAGGAGGGACACAGGCAAUUCCUCAACUGUGUCACAGCCCAAGAGAUGCCAAGCUUCUGGUGAAGGGGCAGCAGCCGGCAAUCUGGAGUAUGCAG